AGAAUGUAGAGAUUGAGAAGAGCAAGGAAGGGCAGAGCUAAGGAACUUCGUCAGGGCUAGAAGAACCAGAAGACUGUUUUGUUGUGGAUGGCAAGAAAAUUGACAUUUAUAAGAUGAUAGAGAAUGGUCAAUGGCAGCAAAUGUCACAAGGGAUCUAAGGA